rnacentral:rRNA from 1 species
UGAACGCUGGCGGCAGGCCUAACACAUGCAAGUCGAGCGGCAGCACGGGUACUUGUACCUGGUGGCGAGCGGCGGACGGGUGAGUAAUGCCUAGGAAUCUGCCUGGUAGUGGGGGAUAACGCUCGGAAACGGACGCUAAUACCGCAUACGUCCUACGGGAGAAAGCAGGGGACCUUCGGGCCUUGCGCUAUCAGAUGAGCCUAGGUCGGAUUAGCUAGUUGGUGAGGUAAUGGCUCACCAAGGCGACGAUCCGUAACUGGUCUGAGAGGAUGAUCAGUCACACUGGAACUGAGACACGGUCCAGACUCCUACGGGAGGCAGCAGUGGGGAAUAUUGGACAAUGGGCGAAAGCCUGAUCCAGCCAUGCCGCGUGUGUGAAGAAGGUCUUCGGAUUGUAAAGCACUUUAAGUUGGGAGGAAGGGCAUUUACCUAAUACGUAAGUGUUUUGACGUUACCGACAGAAUAAGCACCGGCUAACUCUGUGCCAGCAGCCGCGGUAAUACAGAGGGUGCAAGCGUUAAUCGGAAUUACUGGGCGUAAAGCGCGCGUAGGUGGUUCGUUAAGUUGGAUGUGAAAUCCCCGGGCUCAACCUGGGAACUGCAUUCAAAACUGUCGAGCUAGAGUAUGGUAGAGGGUGGUGGAAUUUCCUGUGUAGCGGUGAAAUGCGUAGAUAUAGGAAGGAACACCAGUGGCGAAGGCGACCACCUGGACUGAUACUGACACUGAGGUGCGAAAGCGUGGGGAGCAAA